rnacentral:rRNA from 1 species
GACAAACGCUGGCGGCGUGCUUAACACAUGCAAGUCGAACGAUGAAGCCGGAGCUUGCUCUGGUGAAUUAGUGGCGAACGGGUGAGUAACACGUGAGUAACCUGCCCUUGACUCUGGGAUAACUGCUAGAAAUGGUAGCUAAUACCGGAUACGACCCUCGGAGGCAUCUCCAGGGGGUGGAAAGAAUUUCGGUCAAGGAUGGACUCGCGGCCUAUCAGCUAGUUGGUGUGGUAAUGGCUCACCAAGGCGACGACGGGUAGUGGCCUGAGAGGGUGACCGGCCACAAUGGGACUGGGACACGGCCCAGGCUCCUACGGGAGGCAGCAGUGGGGAGUAUUGCUCAACGGGCGCAAGCCUGAUGCAGCAGCGCCGCGUGAGGGAUGACGGACUUCGGGUUGUAAACCUCUUUUAGUAGGGAAGGAGCGAAAGUGACGGUACCUGCAGAAAAAGCUCCGGCUAACUACGUGCCAGCCGCCGCAGUAA